rnacentral:rRNA from 1 species
AAGGGCGACUGAAACGGGAUCAGCCCAGCGCAAAGCCUCGUGCCACCUAAACAGGGCACGAGGGGUGCUGCGUUCGGGAGAGGUCUUGCACGCGGUCCCGCGCCGCCUAAGUUGUACAUGAAUGACUCUAAUACCCACGGAGGGUGUCAGGCCCGUGUGGCGGUCAUACAUACCCCGAAGGGGGGAAGGUCUGGGACUGCGGAAUGGGCCUCUCCUUAGAGUCGGGUUGCCUGAAAGUGCAACCUAAAGUAGGUGGUAAACUCCAUCUAAGGCUAAAUACGACCACGAGACCGAUAGCGAACAAGUACCGUGAGGGAAAGUUGAAACAGAACCCUGUAGAGAGAGUUCAAGAGAACGUGAAACCGUUAAGAGGCUAAACGGGUGGAGAUUCGAAGAUCGAACUGGGGGGAUUCAGUCCGUCCGGUAGUCCGGGAGAGGCGGGUUCGUAAGGCGACCCCCUGGUGGAGGCGGCGGCAGUUCUGCUGCAGCCGUUUUCGCCUAGGGGGCGCGGCCCGUCCCCUGCUCGGCGCUGGCGGGCGAUGUUCCCCCCGCAGUAGGUCGCCGCGAUGCGUUGGGAGGGCGUCUGAGGCCCGGGUUUGGUAGGAACCGGCGUCGGGGUCAGGCCGCUAACCCGCUCGUCGGGGGUCUGACCGCGGCGUCUGGGGAUCCCCCGGUGUUCCGAACGGCUGCUGCUGCUACAGCUCCGCGUCCCCUCGUCUUGCUCUCCCGACGGUCGCUCCUUGGGGCGGUGGGCUCUAAACGGCCCCCGCCUUUCGCGGCGUGCAAAGAGUCGAGGCUCUACCCGACCCGUCUUGAAACACGGACCAAGGAGUCCAACAUGUAUGCGAGUCAUUGGGCUGACUAAACCCACAGGCGCAAUAAAAGUGAUUAAAAGCCAGCCAGUCUGUUACUACAACAGCUGCUGCAGGGCCGAUCCCUUCGGGCCGUUUUGACUUGGGUCUACUUGUCCCCCGGACGGAGUUGAGACACCUUGCCUUCCUCCCCGGGGUCCACUGAGUUGACGAUGAGAAGAACCCAUCUGGUCCGGUCUGCUACGCCUCCAGCUCCUCUGCCUUGCAAGGGUUGGAGGGGGGCGCAGGUCCGGGACUCGCCAUGACGAACAGCUGGCUUCGCUUCUGCCGGUGUUUGGGGGUGGGGCGGGCUGUCUCACAAGAUCGUUCGCGGUUGGACGGGACGCCCAAUCCCCCAUUCUCUCCUCGCCGCAGCGGCUGCUGCUGGAUGUGUCGGCGAGUACCUAGAGCAUAAAUGUUGGUACCCGAAAGAUAGUGAACUAUGCCUGGCCAGGAUGAAGCCAGGGGAAACCCUGGUGGAGGUCCGUAGCGAUUCUGACGUGCAAAUCGAUCGUCAGAGCUGGGUAUAGGGGCGAAAGACCAAUCGAACUAUCUAGUAGCUGGUUCCCUCCGAAGUUUCCCUCAGGAUAGCUGGCACUCGUACACAACGAGUUUCAUCCGGUAAAGCGAAUGAUUAGGGGUGUUGGGGACGAAAUGUCCUCAGCCUAUUCUCAAACUUUAAAUGGGUGAGGUGCCGGGCUUGCUUUGUGUGCCCUCCCUUCUUCUCCUCCCUGUGGGGAGUUGAGGCAGCGGCCUUGAAGCCCCGGACACGAAUCGGAGUGCUUAGUGGGCCAAUUUUGGUAAGCAGAACUGGCGCUGUGGGAUGAACCAAACGUCGAGUUAAGGGGCCUAAAUGGAUGCUAAUUCCGAUACCAUGGAAGGGAGUUGCUUGCUAUAGACAGCAGGACGGUGGCCAUGGAAGUUGGAAUCCGCUAAGGAGUGUGUAACAACUCACCUGCCGAAGCAAGUAACCCUGAAAAUGGCAUGGCGCUCAAGCAUUCUCCCGAUACUCGACCGCCGGGUGCACUAUGGCUGCAACAAGGAGGUCUCGAGGCCCCGGUGAGUAGGAGGAGCGCGGUGGUGAGCGUUGAAGGAUUCGGCGUGAGCCGGUCUGGAGCCUCCACUGGUGCGGAUCUUGGUGGUAGUAGCAAAUAUUCGAGCGAGACCACCCUCGUUGACCGAUGCGGAGAAGGGUUCCACGCCAACAUCGCUUGGUCGUGGGUUAGUCGUACCUAAGCCCGGGGAUAGCAUCCCGAUUUACUAGGCGUUCUGGCUUUCCUGUCCCAAAAAAGUCAACCUAACCAAACCCUGGUAUGAUCGAUGUCCAAGUCUCGCACCUCGCACGAGUAUUCUUCCAACCCCCUCCCGUCCCCCUUCCCUCCUUAGGGGGGGCUCUUCGGGGGAUGUGGAGUUUCUAUGCUUUAGUUACCGUGCGAAGAGGGAAGAACGAGUACGCUCUUCUUUCACUUUCUUGGGUGGAGCUUGCGACGGCGGCUGCUUCCGCCGCCCCAGUCCUUGAGCGAUAAACAUUAUAUAUAUUACCCCGCCAACAUUCUCAGCCCUAUGAGAUAUUUCUUGCCGCAGCUCAUGGCGGCUAGCGAGGCUCGCUCGGGCUCGCUAGCUGCUGUUUCUACAGCAGCAUUCAAGCCGGCUGGCGGGAGGCUAAGUGUUCUAUUCGCCUCUGGGCGGUUUUGUAGGAGCCGCUUAUGACACGUUAUUAUGUUGCGUGUGAUGUUGCUUUCUAUAUAGAGCGUCUGUUUCUAAAGUCCAGAUCAUGGCGAGGGGGAAUCCGGU